CAGCUAUAUCAUGUUAAAACACCAUUUCUCGUCUGCUGAUCGAAAUUAAGCAAUGUCAAGCCUGGUCAGUACCUAGAUGGGUGACCACUUGGGAAUACCAGUUGCUGUAA